UACGGGGGGGGCAAGCGUUGUUCGGAAUUACUGGGCGUAAAGGGCUCGUAGGCGGCCAACUAAGUCAGACGUGAAAUCCCUCGGCUUAACCGGGGAACUGCGUCUGAUACUGGAUGGCUUGAGGUUGGGGAGAGGGAUGCGGAAUUCCAGGUGUAGCGGUGAAAUGCGUAGAUAUCUGGAGGAAUACCGGUGGCGAAGGCGGCAUCCUGGACCGACAUUGACGCUGAUGAGCGAAAGCUAGGGGAGCAAACGGG
rnacentral:rRNA from 1 species